GUAUACGUAAUACAUAUACUUAAUUGGGAACGAUACAUAGAAGAUUAGCAUGACUCUUACACAAGGGAUAAUGCUGUAAUUGUAAUUGUAACAUUAUUUAU
rnacentral:snRNA from 1 species